rnacentral:lncRNA from 1 species
GGCGAAUUUUGUCAUGGCUUUAAUUUUUCAACAAAAUCAUAACAACAAUUAGAUUUUCAAAAGGCCAAAGAAUAAAUCAUUCAAUGACAAUAUAAUUAAUGUUUUUCAUUGAUUCAGUAAAGGGCAACCAGUACUGAAGAGGUGACAACUGGGCUUCCAGCACCACAAUACGAUAAAUUCCGCCAUACACAUUGCUUGUAAUGUUCAGCUUUGUUAGAUCACAUCAUCAUCCAUCAAAUGUCAACAUGUUUAAAAGCCAUGACGAUUGGUAAAGACUGCAUACAAAAUCUGUAAUUAUAAAUCAUAACGGCAGCAAACAAAUAUUUAAUUGGGGUAGGGUGUGGUGGGUUUUUGUCCUUGCACCCGUCUACAGUUUGUUAAAGAAUGAAAUAACAUUACCGAAACAACUGGUUUUAUAUUGAAAUUCCCGCCUAUAAAUGCACGAGAUAAUUGCGUAUCGCUUAUGAAAAAAAAAAUUUGUAUUAUACAACCGGUUUUAGUGUCGCUUGCAACAAUAAAAACAUAAAAAGGGAGACAAAUCCAAGUCUUAUCAAUUCAAUAAAUAAAUUUAAUUCAUAUUGAUUAAAUUUCAUUAUUGUAUAUGAUAUCAAACUACCAAACCGACAUAUAGCAAAAUGGUGAAUUCCUAUGACAUACAAACAGUUUCUGUGUCUCUAGAUUCUAUUAUUUGACUCAUGAAUAAAAACAACACUAUUUUAGAAUUGGCGAAUUUUG